CUCCUCUUCCUCCACCUCUGCCACAGGGCUCCAGCUUCCCUCUGGGGGCACCACUGUUCUUAGAUGGCAGAGCAGAUGCAACGGCACCCCUGAGCUGCCCUCAGGGGGUCCUCAGCCUUGGAGGAGGCAGGAGACCUGGGCUAUGGAGCCACUCACAGGCCCUACU
ensembl:lncRNA LINC02690 long intergenic non-protein coding RNA 2690